CUGUUUCCUACCCAAUCACAGUUCCUUUUCCCUUGGUUUAAAAACCCUGUCAGUUGUUUGCUCUAGAGCUCAAUCUCUCUGUAAAUGCCAUAUGUCUGUUUCACCUUCUCCUACUAUGUCUCUCUAUUGCUCUUUAUGUAUUGAGCUAUUUUUUAUUUGAGCACCUCCAUAUCACUUUGUCCUCACCUGCCGACGGUGGCUGGUCCCCUUUAGGAACGUGAGGUGCCUGAGGUCCCUCCGCCCCCUCUGGACAUCGAGGGGUCCCUGGCGUACACAGUACGUGGCAUUCUGGACUCAAGACGCUGGGUGUGGGGCCUACAGUACCUCGUGGACUGGGAGGGGUACGGUCCGCAGGAGUGGUGCUGGGUACCGGUGGGGGACAUUUUGGAUCCUUCCCUCCUGAGAGACUUCCACCGCCUCCACCCGGAUCUCCCACGCUGCGGGAGCCGCGAGUCAGGGGGGGGGUUACUGUCACGACUUCCGCCGAAGUUGGCUCCCCUGCCUGUUCGGGCGGUGCUCAGCAGUCGUCGUCACCGGCCUACUAGCUGCCACCGAUCCCUUUUUCGUUGUCUGUUUGUUUUGUCUUAUGAGUUUCACAUGUGUCCUGUUGUAUGUGCUUAAGGGGCUUCCUUAUUUAAAGUACGUGUACCCGCCCUUGUUUUGUGCGGGAUUGUAUUUUUGUUACGUGUGUGUGCAUUAGGUAGAGGUGUUCGUGUUCUGGACCUGGCACCCUGUGUUUUGGGUGGUCCACAUUAUUGUCCGCGCACUGUGUUGUGGGCUUGUUAUUUUGUGCCGCAUUAAAGUGCACCUUUUCCCUG